rnacentral:rRNA from 1 species
UACAGAGGUCCCAAGCGUUGUUCGGAUUCAUUGGGCGUAAAGGGUGCGUAGGCGGCGCGGUAAGUCGGGUGUGAAAUCUCGGGGCUUAACUCCGAAACUGCAUUCGAUACUGCCGUGCUUGAGGACUGGAGAGGAGACUGGAAUUUACGGUGUAGCGGUGAAAUGCGUAGAUAUCGGAAGGAAGACCAGUGGCGAAGGCGGGUCUCUGGACAGUUCCUGACGCUGAGGCACGAAGGCCAGGGGAGCAAACGGG